UACGGAGGGUGCAAGCGUUAUCCGGAUUCACUGGGUGUAAAGGGUGCGUAGGCGGGAAGGUAAGUCCGCGGUGAAAUCUCACAGCUCAACUGUGAAACUGCCGUUGAUACUGCUUUUCUUGAGUUCGGGAGAGGUUGAUGGAAUUCCAGGUGUAGCGGUGAAAUGCGUAGAUAUCUGGAAGAACACCAGUGGCGAAGGCGGUCAACUGGCCCGUAACUGACGCUGAGGCACGAAAGCGUGGGGAGCGAACAGG
rnacentral:rRNA from 1 species